UACGAAGGGUGCAAGCGUUAAUCGGAAUUACUGGGCGUAAAGGGUGCGUCGGCGGUUCGUUAAGUCUGUCGUGAAAUCCCCGGGCACAACCUGGGAAUGGCGAUGGAUACUGGCGAGCUAGAGUGUGUCAGAGGAUGGUGGAAUUCCCGGUGUAGCGGUGAAAUGCGUAGAGAUCGGGAGGAACAUCAGUGGCGAAGGCGGCCAUCUGGGACAACACUGACGCUGAAGCACGAAAGCGUGGGGAGCAAACAGG
rnacentral:rRNA from 1 species